UACGUAGGGGGCAAGCGUUGUCCGGAUUUAUUGGGCGUAAAGAGCGUGUAGGCGGCCAGAUAGGUCGGUUGUGAAAACUGGAGGCUCAACCUCCAGACGUCGAUCGAAACCAUCUGGCUAGAGUCCGGAAGAGGAGAAUGGAAUUCCUGGUGUAGCGGUGAAAUGCGCAGAUAUCAGGAAGAACACCCGUGGCGAAGGCGGUUCUCUGGGACGGUACUGACGCUGAGACGCGAAAGCGUGGGGAGCAAACCGG
rnacentral:rRNA from 1 species